UACGUAGGGUGCGAGCGUUGUCCGGAAUUAUUGGGCGUAAAGAGCUCGUAGGCGGUCUGUCGCGUCGGUCGUGAAAACCUGCAGCUUAACUGUGGGCUUGCGGUCGAUACGGGCAUGACUGGAGUUCGGCAGGGGAGACUGGAAUUCCUGGUGUAGCGGUGAAAUGCGCAGAUAUCAGGAGGAACACCGGUGGCGAAGGCGGGUCUCUGGACGGUGACUGACGCUGAGACGCGAAAGCGUGGGGAGCAAACAGG
rnacentral:rRNA from 1 species